CGUUCUAUAUUUUUUUAUAUUUAUUCCAUAUUUUUUUUGUUCCGAGUGAGAUUUUUAAUUUUUUUUAAUCAGUUUGCAACACGUGAUCACAUGACCGCGAUGCACUUCCUCAUUGCGCCAUUUUGGCGUUUGGUUACAUGAAGGAAGAACUGUCUACUGCUUGUCGUGCGGCCGCGGAUGCCUUAGAGAUUUUAAGUAAUUUGAGACCUGGUUUUACCAGAAAUGUUACACUUCGGAUGAAUUUAACGGCAGUCUCUGUCAGUCAGCCGAACAACGGGGAUCGUCAGGUGAACAACGAGGAACCCCAGGCGAACGAACGUGCCAUUCAACUCUCGACGUCGCCAGCCUCAAGCAGUUCUACUCAAGCUCGGCUUGCCACUCUCUUUCCGACAAUGGGCUCGAACCGAGCUAGUAGGAAAAGCACUGGAAGAAGACUAGCAAGGUCAAAGCAGACCAUUAAGUCGACCAAAGGCCGCCCAUCUAAGACACUUGUUUACAAGGAUCUAGUCCUUAUUCCCAGUCCCAAGAUAAACAAAGUGCCUACACAUACAAUCCGACUUCAGUUAGAAGAGAGAGAGCUUGUCUGCCACGAGUUUCCCUUUGACAAGAGCUUGGAUGCAAAUUCCCUCAAAGCUGCUAUGUUGAAUCGAUUUCCAAAGCUUUUGCUAUUUGAAUAUGUCAAGCCAUGGUAUGGAAAGCAAAUAACUCCUAAGUUGGCAGAUGGCAUAACUCUGAAUGCAGAAAGAGUGACCAGGAUGGCUGGUCAAGAAGCUGGUUAUGUUAGAUCACUGGUGCCUUUGGAAUCUGAAGAUGUGGCGCGAAACUGAAGAGGAGCUAGAGAAUUCAGUAUUGGAUAGCAGUCCAAGGGUGAACGUUUUCUUGUGAAUUUUUGCAUUGAACAAGAUAACACCUGUAUGGAUUUCUUUAAACUUUUUCGCCUCACUACAAAGUGUUAGUGGAGCACAAAGAAGCCCUGUGUUGCUUUCAUUCGGGGAGAGCGAUGGGAGGCCAGAUGCAGCUGUGGUGCCCCACCCCUGCCAGGAGGCUGCACAACGUUUUUGUGUUCCAUUUCCAACUGAGGCAGGAACAUCACAUCAAAAUACAGAGUUAAAUGAUGUAGAGACAGGCAGUAACUCUGAUAUUGUUUUGGCAUCAUCUGAGCUACCUGUACCAGUAACUGCACCUGUUUUAGGCAGUAACUCUGAUAUUGUUCAUGCAUCAUCUGAGCAUGUACCUGUACUUCAACUGCUAUCCAACUGCUAUCGUAUCAUCCAAGUGCACCGGUUAAAUAUUAAGAAGGAUUUGAUUGACUUAUUCCGAUAUCCAUUAAUUAUGAGUCAAGACAUAAAGAUAUUAAAUUGUUAUUGAUGCUAGGAGAGUUGAAGAAAUUGGCAGAGGUGUUGGGUUGCUUAGAGAUGUUUUCUCCUCUUUUUUGGAGGGAAACAUUUGAUAUAUGAUUCCCUUUUUGUUAGAGAAAAUGAGCGUGUACCAUUUGUAAUACAUGACUAUUAAAGGGAUAAAUGGGUUGCUGUUGGCAGAAUUUUGGUGAAAGGAUAUUUGACCUGUCAGUACCUACCAGUCCCUCUGUCUGAAACGUUCCUUACCUGUCUUUUUUGUGGGCAAUCUGCUGUAACUAGCGCUAUGCUGACUCAGUCCUUAAAAAAUUACAUUUUAGUAGAUGAAAAAUGUUUGAUUGACAAGUGCCUUGCUGGUGAUAUGAAGUGCGAUGAUGAAGACGAAGUGUCCCAGCUUUUAAAAGUACUUUGUAACUAUGACUGUCGAAUUAUGGUAAAUUCUGAGAAUUUCAUUCAAGUUAUUCAAGAAAUAGCCCGUAAGGAGCUGCUGCAGAAGCCACAGUAUAUUGCAGACUGCUAGAAAGAUAUAGUUUUCACACACUUUCCUAGUUUUCCUGAUUUUGCAGCACUUUCCAAAAGGUAUGAAUUAAUUGUUAAUACCAUCCACGAGCAAAAUACUUAGUUGCCUAGAGGCAAACCCUGAAAGUGAUGGCGAAAGGGAUAGCCUUAAGUUUUUUAGACGGUAUAUUAAAGGCCUUAACACACCUCAGAAAUUAUCAAAGCUUGUAAGGUUUAUCAGUGGGUCUGAGUUAAUGCUUUUUGACGCAAACCAUUUUAUCUGGUAUGGGUCACCGACCAAUUGCCCACACUUGCAAUACUGUGUUGGAGCUAUCCUAAACUUAUCAUUCAUUUCCUGAACUUAGAGAGGAGUUCAGUUCAAUACUUGCAUCACAUUAUUGGGAAAUGGAUAUUAUGUAAUAUGCUUUGGGACGAGAAGAAGACCAUUAUGGUGGUAAGCUGAUUUAGAACAGACUGAUAAUUUCAUUUUUCAUAUAUGAAUUGUGUUUUCUGCCUUUGAUGGGUAUUUACAGUUUUAAAACAUGUAACAACAGUGCACAAAUUAUUUGUGCACCGAUUCCUGUACAUCAUACUGGGAAAUCAUUAGCUAAUGGCUUAUUGUAGUAUCAAGCUUGUUAUCUGUUUAAAGUUGACAUUUUAAAGCGAACGCAGCUGUUUAGAACUAUAUUGAGAUUUUAAUGUACUUUUUUCCUGACUGUUGUAAGGGUUAAGUUGCAUUCGUUGUGUUCUAUUCUGAUAGAUAAAAUUUGAAGGCAAAGUAAUAAAUUUCGCACUGUUUACGUUUUCAAUCCGUCAUCGAAGUUGGUAGUCUACGAUUAACCGUAAAUGGGAAGCAAGAGUAAAGAACUCUCUACAAUUUUCUAGCAGAAUGUCUCUUGUUCCAUGUUUCACUCUUAGAGUGAAUUAUGCUACCCAGGCAAUCAAUCCUCACAAAAAAAAACAAACAAACAAACAAACAAAAAA
rnacentral:misc_RNA from 1 species